UAGCACAACAUUGUCUAAAUGCCAAAAUAUAUGGAAUAGACAACAUAAAUCUCAAAAUUCAGCUGAGAUUAUAAAAAACAAUAUUGGCCAAUAUUUUAUAUGUCCCAAUAUAACUAGAUGGAACUCCACUUAUAAUGCUUUAUAAUUAAUCUCAGAAAUUAUUAAGACUAAAUUUGAAAAAUUGGACAAGAUUUGCGAUGGAAUAAAACUACCUAAAUUUUUAUUUGAUGAAUGUGUUUAUUCAUGAAUAUUGUUUACUAAUGAAGCCGGUAGCAAGUUCACUUGAUAUCCUGCAGGGAGAUAAAUAUAUGUUCACAGCUUAUUACUGUGCAACUAUUUCCCAGCUCAUUAUUAAAUUGAAAAAUUUUAAACAAAUGAACCUGAAAUUUUGUUUACCACUCUUUAAUGCCUUAUUUAAAGGAAUCAAAGAUAGAUGAAAAUAUUUUGGCAACUAUGCUUCAUCCCUUUUUUUAAACUAGAUUGGACAUGGUUGCAAAUGGAUGA